GAGAUGAGUCCGCCCCCCAUUAGCUAGUUGGUGAGAUAAUAGCCCACCAAGGCUUCGAUGGGUAGCCGAGCUGAGAGGUUGAUCGGCCACACUGGAACUGAGACACGGUCCAGACACCUACGGGUGGCAGCAGUAGGGAAUAUUGGACAAUGGGCGAAAGCCUGAUCCAGCCAUGCCGCGUGAGUGAUGAAGGUCUUCGGAUUGUAAAACUCUUUUCUGUGGAAAGAACAUCCAGGGUAGGAAAUGCCCCUGGCUUGACGGUACCACAGGAAUAAGGAACGGCUAACUCCGUGCCAGCAGCCGCGGUAAUACGGAGGUUCCAAGCGUUGUUCGGAAUUACUGGGCGUAAAGGGAGCGCAGGCGGACAAGUCAGUUUGAAGUGGAAAUCCGGGGCUCAACCUCGGACUUGCUUCGGAUACUACUUGUCUUGAGUUCGUGAGAGGAAGAUGGAAUUCAGGGUGUAGCGGUGAAAUGCACAGAUAUCCUGAGGAACACCGGUGGCGAAAGCGGUCUUCUGGCACGAAACUGACGCUGAGGCUCGAAAGCGUGGGUAGCAAACGGGAUUAGAUACCCCGGUAGUCCACGCCGUAAACGUUGUAUACUAGGUGUAGGAGGUAUCGACCCCUUCUGUGCCGCAGCUAACGCACUAA
rnacentral:rRNA from 1 species